GACGAACGCUGGCGGCGUGCCUAACACAUGCAAGUCGAACGAGGUCCAUGCAGUGGCAACACUGCGGAAGACCUAGUGGCGAACGGGUGAGUAACACGUGAGGAACCUGCCCCGAAGACCGGGAUAACCCUCCGAAAGGAGAGCUAAUACCGGAUACCCCCACCGGAUCGCAUGAUCUGGUGAGGAAAUGGAUUCCGCUUCGGGAGGGCCUCGCGGCCUAUCAGCUAGUUGGUGGGGUAACGGCCCACCAAGGCAUCGACGGGUAGCUGGUCUGAGAGGACGAUCAGCCACACUGGGACUGAGACACGGCCCAGACUCCUACGGGAGGCAGCAGUGGGGAAUCUUGCGCAAUGGGCGAAAGCCUGACGCAGCAACGCCGCGUGGGGGAUGAAGGCUCUCGGGUUGUAAACCUCUUUUCUCAGGGAAGAAAAAAAUGACGGUACCUGAGGAAUCAGCAUCGGCUAACUCCGUGCCAGCCGCCGCCGUAAGAC
rnacentral:rRNA from 1 species